CAUGCUUAACACAUGCAAGUCGAACGGGAUCCCGGGCUUCGGCUCGGGUGAGAGUGGCGGACGGGUGAGUAACGCGUGGGAACCUGCCCAUUGGUUCGGAACAACCGCGGGAAACUGCGGCUAAUACCGGAUACGCCCCUGGGGCGAGAGCUCGAGGGGGAAAGAUUGAUCGCCGAUGGAGGGGCCCGCGUCCGAUUAGGUAGUUGGUGGGGUAAUGGCCCACCAAGCCAUCGAUCGGUAGCUGGUCUGAGAGGAUGAUCAGCCACACUGGGACUGAGAUACGGCCCAGACUCCUACGGGAGGCAGCAGUGGGGAAUAUUGGACAAUGGGGGCAACCCUGAUCCAGCAAUGCCGCGUGAGUGAUGAAGGCCUUCGGGUUGUAAAGCUCUUUUGCCAGGGACGAUGAUGACGGUACCUGGAGAAUAAGCCCCGGCUAACUUCGUGCCAGCCGCCGCAGUAACAC
rnacentral:rRNA from 1 species